rnacentral:rRNA from 1 species
UAAUGUCUGGGAAACGUGCCUGAUGGAGGGGGAUAACUACUGGAAACGGUAGCUAUACCGCAUAAUGUCGCAAGACCAAAGUGGGGGACCUUCGGGCCUCAUGCCAUCAGAUGUGCCCAGAUGGGAUUAGCUAGUAGGUGGGGUAACGGCUCACCUAGGCGACGAUCCCUAGCUGGUCUGAGAGGAUGACCAGCCACACUGGAACUGAGACACGGUCCAG